rnacentral:miRNA from 1 species
UAUCACAGCCCGCUUUGACGAGC